AAUAUUCCGCAAUGGACGAAAGUCUGACGGAGCAACGCCGCGUGAGUGAUGAAGGUCUUCGGAUCGUAAAACUCUGUUGUUAGGGAAGAACAAGUAACGGAGUCACUGCCGGUACCUUGACGGUACCUGACGAGAAAGCCACGGCUAACCACGUCCCAGCAGCCGCGGUAAAGAGCAGGUGGAAAGCGUUGUUCGGAUUUAUUGGGCGUAAAGCGCGCGCAGGCGGUCUUUUAAGUCUGAUGUGAAAUCUUACAGCGUAACUAUAAGCGGUCAUUGGAAACGGGGAGACUUGAGUGCAGAAGAGGAGAGUGGAAUUCCAUGUGUAGCGGUGAAAUGCGUAGAGAUGUGGAGGAACACCAGUGGCGAAGGCGACUCGCUGGUCUGUAACUGACGCUGAGGCGCGAAAGCGUGGGGAUCAAACA
rnacentral:rRNA from 1 species